UAGGUUUAUGUGCAGUUUAUGGGUUUACUGUGCGUUUAUGAACAAUGUAUGUUGGAUAUGCAUAUUUGAUGUGUUGUAGAUGGGGUUUAGGAUAGUUUGAAGCCCCUAGGAGCUUGUAUGCUUGGGUAUGCAUGUUGUAGAAUAGGAAAAUGCAUGAUUGAAUGAGUUGGGAGGCGUUUAUGCAUGUUGAGCUGAGUUUCUGCCCUUUUGGGAAGAACUCAGGUUCGGCAGCCGAAGGCUCUUUCGGCCGCCGAACCUGCCUUUGGUAGCAUGUAUCGGCUGCCGAACCUUGCCCCCGAAAGUGGACUUUCGGCUCUGGAAGGGAGUUUCGGCCGCCGAAGGUGCCGCCGAACAUGCAUGAGUUUCAUCUCUGGAGGGAACCUUCGGCCGCCGAAAGUGCCGCCGAAGGUGCAUGACUUUCGGCUCUGAAGGGCCUUUCGGCCGCCGAACCUGCCGCCGAAAGUGCCCUGUUCAGCCCUCCUUUGCAUGAUUUAUGUGAUUGUUUUAAGGUGUUUUGGGGGGUUUUUGGGGAGUAUUUUAGAGUCAUGUUUAUGUAUGUUAGGUCCCUCAUUUCAGUCCACCUGUGUAGGUUCGGACCCGAGGAACCGAGGACCCCAGCAGUGAGUUCAGCUGCUUCUGAGUCUGUUAGAGCUUCAGUCAGAGGUGAGUGGAAUACCUUAUUUUGUUUCAAAGUAAAUAAAUAAAUUCUGAGCAUGAUACACGCAUCAUGAAUGCCAUGAGAUAUACUAGGGUGCUUGCAUUAGAAUUCACGAAUAUGUUGCAUUGCAUAAUAUGUUAUUGAUGUGGAUGAAUGUUGGAUGAUCCUUUAGCCGCACUACGUUAUGAUAUGAUGUGAUACGGUAUGGAAGACCAGUGAGGCCCAUUCUACGCCCCUGGCACUAUGUAAGAGAAAGACCAGUGAGGCCCAUUCUACGCCCCUGGCAUAUUGGAAUGUUAUGUUAUGAAUGUAAUGUAAGAGAAAGACCAGUGAGGCCCAGUCUACGCCCCUGGCACUAUUGGAAUGAGUAGUGGGCUAUUGGUGACAAGUUCAUCCUUGAUGUGGAUUGGUUGUGAUAUGUUGCAUUUCAUGAAAGCAUGAAAUUUAAAUUGAAUGUUUAAUUAUUCUGCUCACUGGGUUUUAUAGCUCACCCCUCUCCCUUAACCCCCAGGUUUGCAGGUACAGGGUAGACCAGGAGGUCAACAGAAGUAGAGUCAUGUGUUAUGUAAUAGCUAGAUGUGGACAUGGAUAUGAUGUAAUGUAAAAGUAUGAUAUAGAAAUGUUAUGUAAUGAUGCUUAUGGAAGUUUAGAGUUGUGCUUGACCUUAGUAUGUUGUCAAUCCCUUUUUAGUACAUGAUCUCAAAUGUUUAAUGAUGAUUAUUGAAAACCAAACUUAAUGUAUGUAUGUUACCCCAUUGGAGCAUUGUUGAGGACUCCAGUGUGGGUUGAUGAUUAUGAUUAUGUAUAGUGCAUGCACAGGUUGAGUUUGGUGAAUGAAUGAAAAGAAAAGUUCAAAAUUUUAUGUAUGUGUUGAUCAUGUAUGGGAUUAAGCAGGUUUACAGGAUGAAUGUUUGGCUUGCUACGGGUCCCGGCGGCCUUAAGCCGAUCUGGAUCCUAGCGCCGGUAGCGUCCGAUUUUCGGGUCAUUACAGAUUGGUAUCAGAGCCCUAGAUUCAUAUGGUCGGACCUAGAGUGUCGGGCUCAUAGAUGUUUUAGAAGGUCAAGCACAAUAGAAAGAUCAUGUCCACUAGGAUAGGAUAAAGAGUCCUGUCUUGAAUGAUAAUGUGAAAUGCCAUGAUUUUAUGCAUGUGCAUUAAUGAUAUGCUAUGUAUGUGAUGUAUGUGAUGCGGGUUCAUGUGUUUGCACAUGAACCAUUUGAUGCUAAUGUUCAAAGUGAUGUAUGCUGUUUUUCAGAAAACAGGAUGAGAGAAACUCGUCGAUCUGCAUGAUUGACUAGAGUACCAUCCAGGACGAGGGCACUGAUGCCCGUCCUCCUGCAUUGCCUAGGGCAAUGUCAAGCAGGUCCAGUAGAGAAAGAGCAGUAAGAGACCCUAGAAGGUCUUUGGAUCUGGGUAGAAGCAGAUCAGUGAGGGAAAUAGUACAAAGGGAUAUGUCAGAGGAUGUGGGGGAUCAGAUGGAUGUGGAUCAGAGGAGGGAUGGAAGUCUCGGAGUAAGUAUGUCGGAAGAGGGAAUGGGAGAGUCCCAAGAAGGCACUCAGGCCUCGGGAUUUGUUCAGCCACCUUACUAACCACCCUUUUCACAUAAUCCCGGGUAUUCGAUGGGAGGAACAUCGGAUUACCCCAGUUUUAACUCUUACCACUCACACAUGCCAUACUCGCCUUUUUACCCACAGUACCCUAUGUACCCAUCCCCAUCUUUCUAUCCAGGUACAGCAAACCCUACCCCAGGGGAUGCUGCACCUCCACCACCAGCAGCACCUACUGUCCCAGAAACCCAAAUGCCUAAACCUAGCUCAUCUGGGGGGAGCAAGGUCAAGAUGACCGAUUACAUGAAGCUGGGUGCUCCUCAGUUUGAAACCGGUGAUGACCCGUUUGUGUACCUUGAGAGGGUCAAGACAAUUACAGAUGAGAUAGGAGCUGAUGACAGUAGAGCCAUUCAGAUGGUUGGGUUCACACUAAAAUGCAAGAAGGCCCGAGAGUGGUUUAAGAACUAUGUGAACCCGAAGUUGGACAGCCUAUCAUGGGAGGAGUUUGCAAAUGAGUUUGCAGGAUGGGCUUUCCUUGACAGUUCAAGGGAAUUGAAGAUGAUUGAGUUCGAGCAGCUGAGGCAGACGGAUGAGAUGAGCGUGGAUGAGUUCACAGACAGGUUUUUGGAGCUGUUGCCGUUUGCCGAGCAAAAUCUGGAUAUAGAUCAGAAAAAGUCAAGGAGGUAUAUCAUGAAGCUCCAUUCCAGGUAUUCCUCCUUGAUUCAGUCAGCAGAGAGGGAGAGUUUCCAUGCCAUUGUGGAUAUGGCUCGGAGGAUGGAGGCUAGUGCAAUCAUCGAGGGGAAAGUCAAACAGUCAGUGGCACAGCCUUCUGGUUCCAAGACCCCAGGUGGGGGAAGGAUGGACCCUUCUUCUCUGAGUUCAGCUAGUAAGAGGUGGAGCAGUACCACCAAGAAGCCAAAGAAGAACAAGUUCUGGAAUAAGAUCAAGUCUGGUUUGGGAUUAGGAAGUGGUUCGAGCUCAGGUGUAGAUAAUGCAGUAUUCAAGAAGUGUGGGAAGCCGUACAAAGGAGUAUGUCUGGUUGGGACGUCAGCCUGCUUCAGAUGUGGGCAGGAGGGACACAUGGCACGGGAGUGUCCUAGGGCAGCUUUUGUGGCACAGUCUCAGCAGACAGCUUCUGGUAGUGUGGCUCAGCCAGUAGCUCCAGCCGCGACUCAGGCUAGUGGCAAAGGCAGAGGAAGAGGGGCAGCCUCUUCUUCAGCGGGUUUCAGGGGUGAGGGCCCGUCAGCUCCAGCACGGAUCUUCACCAUGACUCAGCAGGAGGCAAACACAUCCAACACCGUUGUGUCAGGUAAUCUCAUCAUUGGUUGUUCUGAUGUGUAUGCAUUAAUGGACCCUGGUGCAUCUCAUUCUUUCAUUGCUCCGAGAGCCGUCGAGAGGUUGGGAUUGAUGGUCUCUGGGUUAGAGUGUCCCCUAUGGGUCAGUGGACCCAAGUGUGACCCGUCAGUGGCAGAGUCAGUCUGCCAGUGUAGUCCAGUUUUUGUGGAGGGAAGAUGCCUUUCUGCCGACCUUGUGGUUCUAGAGUUGACAGAUUUUGACGUCAUGCUAGGGAUGGAUUGGCUAUCUAUGCAUGGUGCUACCUUGGACUGCAGAGACAAGGUAGUCAAGUUCAGAUGUCAGGAUGGGUCAGAGGUUGUCUUCAGAGGAGACAGGGGGAGUACACUUAGAGGUUUGAUAUCAGCCCUACAGGCUUGUAGGCUACCCAGGAGGGGUUGUCAGGGUUUUCUAGCUCAUGUGAGAGAGCUGGAUAAUCAUAUCAGAGAGCCCGCCUCAGUGCCAGUGGUCAGAGAGUUCUUAGAUGUUUUCCCAGACGAGCUGUCAGGUCUACCACCUGCUAGGGAGAUAGAGUUUGAAAUUGAAUUGAUGCCUAGAACUAGACCGAUCUCUAUCCCUCCCUACAGGAUGGCACCAGUAGAAUUGAAUGAGCUUAAAGAGCAGUUGCAAGAGCUGGUAGAUAAGGGCUUCAUCCGACCGAGUACCUCACCUUGGGGUGCUCCAGUGCUAUUUAUGAAAAAGAAGGAUGGAUCCCUUAGGCUUUGUAUCGACUACAGGCAGUUGAACAAGGUCACUACCAAGAAUAAGUACCUGUUGCCAAGAAUCGACGAUCUAUUCGACCAGCUAGCAGGAGCAGGUUGUUUCUCCAAGAUAGAUCUGAGAUCAGGGUACCAUCAGCUGAGGAUAAGGGAAGAGGAUGUACCUAAGACAGCAUUCAGGACCAGAUAUGGGCAUUAUGAGUUCCUUGUGAUGCCGUUCGGGUUAACCAAUACCCCUGCAGCAUUCAUGGAUCUCAUGAACAGAGUGUUUAGCCAGUACCUGGAUCACUUUGUUAUUGUCUUCAUAGAUGAUAUCUUAGUGUAUUCUAGGAAUGUAGAGGAGCAUGCCCAUCAUCUGAGGUUAGUUCUGCAGACCUUGAGGGAACAUGGCUUGUAUGCCAAGUUCUCCAAGUGUGAGUUCUGGCUGAGGAGCAUCUCUUUCUUGGGGCAUGUGGUGUCAGAAAAUGGAAUAGAGGUGGACCCCAAGAAAGUGGAAGCUGUAGCUAACUGGCCUAGACCCACUAUGGUGACAGAGAUCAAGAGUUUCUUGGGUUUGGCAGGUUACUACAGGAGGUUCGUUCAGGACUUCUCUAAGAUUGCAGCUCCCAUGACCAGAUUGACUAAGAAGAACCAGAGGUUCGUGUGGACCGACCAGUGUGAAGAGAGCUUUGAGGAGCUAAAGAAGAGGUUGACUUCAGCACCGGUGUUAGNNNNNNNNNNNNNNNNNNNNNNNNNNNNNNNNNNNNNNNNNNNNNNNNNNNNNNNNNNNNNNNNNNNNNNNNNNNNNNNNNNNNNNNNNNNNNNNNNNNNNNNNNNNNNNNNNNNNNNNNNNNNNNNNNNNNNNNNNNNNNNNNNNNNNNNNNNNNNNNNNNNNNNNNNNNNNNNNNNNNNNNNNNNNNNNNNNNNNNNNNNNNNNNNNNNNNNNNNNNNNNNNNNNNNNNNNNNNNNNNNCGCUAUGGAAACAGAUUGUGUGUACCAGAUGACGUAGGGCUGAAGGGAGACAUUAUGAGAGAGGCUCAUAAUGCCAGAUACAGUGUUCACCCUGGAGCCACCAAGAUGUAUCAAGAUCUGAAGAAGGUUUAUUGGUGGCCAGCUAUGAAAAGAGAAGUGGCACAGUUUGUGUCAGCCUGCGAAGUAUGUCAGAGGGUGAAGCUGGAAUAUCAGAAGCCGGCUGGAAUGCUUAACCCACUACCUAUUCCAGAGUGGAAAUGGGAGAAUAUAGCUAUGGACUUUGUGGUGGGGUUACCGGCGACGUCCAACAGAUUGGACUCCAUAUGGGUGAUUGUGGACAGACUCACCAAAUCUGCUCACUUCAUCCCUGUCAGGAGUGGCUAUUCUGUGGACAAGUUGGCGCAGGUAUAUGUUGAUGAGGUUGUCAGGCUGCAUGGGGUUCCUGUUUCAAUAGUGUCUGAUCGAGGGCCCCAGUUCACCUCCAGGUUUUGGCGGAGUCUGCAGAACGCUAUGGGUAUCAGGUUGGAUUUUAGCACUGCUUUCCAUCCAUAGACGGACGGACAAUCAGAGAGGACCAUCCAGACAAUAGAGGAUAUGCUCAGAAUGUGUGUACUGGAUUUUGGCGGUUCUUGGAGGCAGCAUCUACCUUUGGUAGAGUUUGCCUACAAUAACAGCCAUCAUGCCAGCAUAGGGAUGGCUCCAUAUGAAGCUUUGUAUGGAAGGAAGUGCAGAUCACCUGUUUGCUGGGAAGAAGUUGGAGAAAAGGCCUUGGCAGGGCCUGAGCUUGUAGAGAUCACUAGCAGAGUGGUGCCCAUAAUCAGAGAAAAGAUCAAGACUGCUGCAAGCAGACAGAAGAGUUAUGCAGACAUCCACAGGGGGCAAGUAGAGUUCUAGGAGGGGGAUUUGGUAUUGCUCAAGGUGUCUCCAAUGAAAGGGGUGAUUCGGUUUGGGAAGAAAGGUAAGCUAGCUCCACGGUACAUCGGACCCUUUGAAGUCUUGCAAAAGAUUGGAAAUGUAUCGUACAAGCUGGACUUGUCUGCUUCAAUGGAGAGAAUCCAUCCGGUUUUCCAUGUUUCCAUGUUAAGGAAGUUCGUGUCAGAUCCGGGCAAGGUUCUUAAUGACCCUGAUGUGGAGAUCCAAGAGGAUCUCACCUAUGUUGAGCAGCCAGUACGGAUCCUGGACACCCAGAUCAGAAAGAUAAGGAACAAGGAAAUCCCGAUGGUGAAAUUCCUUUGGAAUCACCACAACAUCGAAGAGUGUACCUGGGAGACACGGGAGUCUAUGCUCCGGCAAUAUCCUCAUCUCUUCUAAGGUGAGUUUUUAUGUGCUUUGUAUGAAUGUUUAUGUUUUAUGCUAUGCCAUGUGUUUGUUUGGUGAACAUUCAGGGACGAAUGUUCUUAAGGGGGGAAGAAUGUAAUACCCGGCUGGACUCCGGUAUCAGAAUUCCUACCGUCCGGUGGAAUCUCGGAUGUCGAAAACCUCUAGAAGGGUAAAAUCUUAUUUUUAUAAAAUGUUUUAAUGUAUCUUAUGGUUUUAAGCAAAAAGGAAAUCGAGUUUUAAAUGAAAAAGACCAAGGAGACAUUUCCAGGUUCGGCCGCCGAACCUCAAGUUCGGCCGCCGAACGUGGGAUAGUUUAGGGGGGCAAGUUAGGCUUCCGAAAGUUUCAAAGGUUCGGCCGCCGAACCUCAUGUUCGGCCGCCGAACUUGCAUGAGUUUUGGAGGCACUUUAGGCUGCCGAAAGGUGGUCUGCCAGCCCCUAUAUAAGAGCUCCAUGGCCGAAACGGGCGAGUUUUCUCCCCAUUUUCGGCCACGGUGAGUUCAUGCUCUCCUAUGGUUGUUUUCAAUGUUUUUCCUUCUGAUCUUUCAUGUUUUAACAAGCUUUAUGUUGAUUUGAAGAUAUUUGAACAAAAGAGCGAGUUUUGGAAGCUUGGAAACCAAAGAGUUGAGAUCUCUCCCAUCUCCAAGUUGGAUCGUCUCUCCUCUCGUUCUUCAAGAGGUAAGAGUAGAUCCAUAGUUCCUUUAAUGUUUUAAGUAAGUUUUAUGAAGUUUCUUGGGGUAGAAAUGUAUGUGUAGGUUUAUGUGGAGUUUAUGGGUUUACUGUGCGUUUAUGAACAAUGUAUGUUGGAUAUGCAUGUUUGAUGUGUUGUAGAUGGGGUUUAGGAUAGUUUGAAGCCCCUAGGAGCUUUUAUGCUUGGGUAUGCAUGUUGUAGAAUAGAAAAAUGCAUGAUUGAAUGAGUUGGGAGGCGUUUAUGCAUGUUGAGCUGAGUUUCUGCCCUUUUGGGAAGAACUCAGGUUCGGCAGUCGAAGGCUCUUUCGGCCGCCGAACCUGCCUUUGGUAGCAUGUAUCGGCUGCCGAACCCUGCCCUCGAAAGUGGACUUUCGGCUCUGGAAGGGAGUUUCAGCCGCCGAAGGUGCCGCCGAACAUGCAUGAGUUUCGUCUCUGGAGGGAACCUUCGGCCGCCGAAAG
rnacentral:lncRNA from 1 species